rnacentral:rRNA from 1 species
GAUGAACGCUGUCUACAGGCUUAACACAUGCAAGUCGAGGGGAAACGCCGGGGAAGCUUGCUUCCCCGGGCGUCGACCGGCGCACGGGUGAGUAACGCGUAUCCAACCUGCCUCUGACUGAGGGAUAACCCGUCGAAAGUCGGCCUAAUACCUCAUGGCAUCGUCUGCGGGCAUCCAACGACGAUUAAAGAUUUCAUCGGUCAGGGAUGGGGAUGCGUCUGAUUAGCUUGUUGGCGGGGUAACGGCCCACCAAGGCUACGAUCAGUAGGGGUUCUGAGAGGAAGGUCCACCACAUUGGAACUGAGACACGGUCCAAACUCCUACGGGAGGCAGCAGUGAGGAAUAGUGGUCAAUGGGCGGGAGCCUGAACCAGCCAAGUAGCGUGCAGGAUGACGGCCCUAUGGGUUGUAAACUGCUGUUAUGCGGGGAUAAAGUGAGGGACGUGUCCUUCAUUGCAGGUACCGCAUGAAUAAGGACCGGCUAAUUCCGUG